CCCCUCUCAGGAUGGCACCUGGAGAGUUUCCAGUAUUCUACCAGUCUCGACGACUGGAGGGAGAGUCAAGCAGAAGCCUACCCAUUCCAAUCCCAGCUUGGACAGUGGCUAGCGAGUGGAAGGCCAACUGCUACAGGU